AGGUAAAGAUGGAAGGAUUUUGAAAGAAGAUGUUUUAGAUUAUGCCAACACCAAGGGAAAUCACGAAGCACCUUCUAUUUCAUACACUAGCGAUGAUGAAUCAAUGUUGCUGAAAGAAACUGAAGUGUCACAUCGAAACACUGUAGAAGAAAGUUGCUAUGCUGAUAAGGCGAUCCCUCUCAGGGGAUUCCAUAGAUCGAUGGUUAAGUCAAUGACCAUGGCUGCGAAAAUUCCACAUUUUCAUUAUCUAGAAGAGAUAAAUUGUGACGCCCUCAUUGAACUUAAACUUGCUUUCCAGAAAGAGAAUUCAGAUCAGAAUGUCAAACACACUUUUCUGCCCUUCCUCGUAAAGUCCCUGUCAAUGGCCUUGAGUAAAUAUCCUCUAUUAAAUAGCUCCUUCAACGAAGAGUCCUAUGAAGUCAUCCUCAAAGGACUCCAUAAUAUUGGUGUUGCCAUGGCUACUCCUAAUGGCUUAGUUGUACCAAACAUAAAGAAGG
rnacentral:misc_RNA from 1 species